rnacentral:rRNA from 1 species
UAGGGAAUCUUCCACAAUGGACGAAAGUCUGAUGGAGCAACGCCGCGUGAGUGAAGAAGGGUUUCGGCUCGUAAAGCUCUGUUGUUAAAGAAGAACACGUAUGAGAGUAACUGUUCAGGUAUUGACGGUAUUUAACCAGAAAGCCACGGCUAACUACGUGCCAG